UCGCCUGUUUUACCAAAAACAUCGCUCUUUGAAAAGAAUCCUUACAUAUAAAGAGUCCUGCCUGCCCAGUGACAGUAGUUAAACGGCCGCGGUAUCUUGACCGUGCAAAGGUAGCAUAAUCAUUUGCCUUUUAAAUGGAGGCUGGUAUGAAUGGCAAGACGGAGGUUUAGCUGUCUCUCUUUUAGAAUCUUGAAUUUGCCAUCUUCGUGAAGAGGCGAAGAUAAAGUCGUAGGACGAGAAGACCCUAUCGAGCUUAAGCUUUAUAAUAGGGUUGAAAAAUUUUUGUUUUUAGGCUAAUUGAAAAACGACUUAAUUUUACCUAGGAAUAAAGAUUAACUACUAUUAGAAUGUUUUGGUUGGGGCAACCGCGGAGAAAAUACACCCUCCGUUACAAAAUUAGAAAAACUUACUACUUUGGGAAAUUUUAAAGUUUAAAAAUGAUCCACUAAAAAGUGAUCAAAGGAAUAAGUUACCGUAGGGAUAACAGCGUAAUUUUUUUGGAGAGUUCAUAUUGAUAAAAAAGUUUGCGACCUCGAUGUUGGAUCGGGACUUCCAGGAGAUGCAGAA
rnacentral:rRNA from 1 species